rnacentral:rRNA from 1 species
UACGUAGGGGGCAAGCGUUAUCCGGAUUUACUGGGUGUAAAGGGAGCGUAGACGGUAUGGCAAGUCUGAUGUGAGAACCCGGGGCUCAACCCCGGGACUGCAUUGGAAACUGUCGGACUAGAGUGUCGGAGAGGCAAGUGGAAUUCCUAGUGUAGCGGUGAAAUGCGUAGAUAUUAGGAGGAACACCAGUGGCGAAGGCGGCUUGCUGGACGAUGACUGACGUUGAGGCUCGAAAGCGUGGGGAGCAAACAGG